CAGCCGCCGCGGUAAUACGAGGGGGGCAAGCGUUGUUCGGAAUUAUUGGGCGUAAAGGGUGCGUAGGCGGUUUGGCAAGUUUGGUGUGAAAUCUUCGGGCUCAACUCGAAGUCUGCAUCGAAAACUGCCGGGCUUGAGUAUGGGAGAGGUGAGUGGAAUUUCCGGUGUAGCGGUGAAAUGCGUAGAUAUCGGAAGGAACACCUGUGGCGAAAGCGGCUCACUGGACCAUAACUGACGCUGAUGCACGAAAGCUAGGGGAGCAAACAGGAUUAGAUACCCCAGUAGUCCCUGUCUCUUAUAA
rnacentral:rRNA from 1 species